AUUGAACGCUGGCGGCAGGCCUAACACAUGCAAGUCGAGCGAGUGGCGGACGGGUGAGUAAUGUCUGGGAAACUGCCCGAUGGAGGGGGAUAACUACUGGAAACGGUAGCUAAUACCGCAUACCAUCAGAUGUGCCCAGAUGGGAUUAGCUAGUAGGUGGGGUAAUGGCUCACCUAGGCGACGAUCCCUAGCUGGGCGGAGAGGAGGACCAGCCACACUGGAACUGAGACACGGUCCAGACGCCUACGGGAGGCAGCAGGGGGGAAGAUUGCACAAUGGGUGCAAGCCUGAUGCAGCCAUGCCGCGUGUUUGAAGAAGGCCUUCGGGUUGUAAAGCACUUUCAGCGAGGAGGCGUUACUCGCAGAAGAAGCACCGGCUAACUCCGUGCCAGCAGCCGCGGUAAUAC
rnacentral:rRNA from 1 species